rnacentral:rRNA from 1 species
GCAUGUCUAAGUAUAAGCAACUUGUACUGUGAAACUGCGAAUGGCUCAUUAAAUCAGUUAUCGUUUAUUUGAUAGUACCUUACUACAUGGAUACCUGUGGUAAUUCUAGAGCUAAUACAUGCUAAAAACCCCGACUUCAGGAAGGGGUGUAUUUAUUAGAUAAAAAACCAACGCCCUUCGGGGCUCCUUGGUGAAUCAUAAUAACUUAACGAAUCGCAUGGCCUUGCGCCGGCGAUGGUUCAUUCAAAUUUCUGCCCUAUCAACUUUCGAUGGUAGGAUAGUGGCCUACCAUGGUGGCAACGGGUAACGGGGAAUUAGGGUUCGAUUCCGGAGAGGGAGCCUGAGAAACGGCUACCACAUCCAAGGAAGGCAGCAGGCGCGCAAAUUACCCAAUCCCGAUACGGGGAGGUAGUGACAAUAAAUACUGAUACGGGGCUCUUUUGGGUCUCGUAAUUGGAAUGAGAACAAUUUAAAUCCCUUAACGAGGAACAAUUGGAGGGCAAGUCUGGUGCCAGCAGCCGCGGUAAUUCCAGCUCCAAUAGCGUAUAUUAAAGUUGUUGCAGUUAAAAAGCUCGUAGUUGAACCUUGGGUCUGGCUGGCCGGUCCGCCUCACCGCGAGUACUGGUCCGGCUGGACCUUUCCUUCUGGGGAACCUCAUGGCCUUCACUGGCUGUGGGGGGAACCAGGACUUUUACUGUGAAAAAAUUAGAGUGUUCAAAGCAGGCCUUUGCUCGAAUACAUUAGCAUGGAAUAAUAGAAUAGGACGUGUGGUUCUAUUUUGUUGGUUUCUAGGACCGCCGUAAUGAUUAAUAGGGAUAGUCGGGGGCGUCAGUAUUCAGCUGUCAGAGGUGAAAUUCUUGGAUUUGCUGAAGACUAACUACUGCGAAAGCAUUCGCCAAGGAUGUUUUCAUUAAUCAGGGAACGAAAGUUAGGGGAUCGAAGACGAUCAGAUACCGUCGUAGUCUUAACCAUAAACUAUGCCGACUAGGGAUCGGACGGGAUUCUAUAAUGACCCGUUCGGCACCUUACGAGAAAUCAAAGUUUUUGGGUUNNUGGGGGGAGUAUNGNCG